rnacentral:tRNA from 1 species
GUUUUAUAGUUUAUUUUAAAACAUUAAUUUUGUAAAUUAAAGAAAAAUAUUGUAUUUUAAAGCA